AAGUCGUAACAAGGUUUCCGUAGGUGAACCUGCGGAAGGAUCAUUACAGAUAGAUUCGGAGGUGGCUUUCUCCAUGCCGGAGGGGGCUCCUUCAAACUCUACCUUCAAUCCCCCCCUCAUUAACAAUGUGAACCUUGACACAAGUCUGUCGACGCAAGUGCCCCUAUCUUUGGAAUAGGGGCACUAGACGCUUGUGCUCAUUUUUCUCUCACGCCUGUCAUACGAAUGUUGUUGGUACAUGAUACAUAUGAAAUAUAACUUUCAGCAACGGAUCUCUUGGCUCUC
rnacentral:misc_RNA from 1 species